rnacentral:rRNA from 2 species
CCUACGGGAGGCAGCAGUGGGGAAUAUUGGACAAUGGGGGCAACCCUGAUCCAGCAAUGCCGCGUGAGUGAUGUAGGCCUUCGGGUUGUAAAGCUCUUUUGGCGGGGACGAUGAUGACGGUACCCGCAGAAUAAGCCCCGGCUAACUACGUGCCAGCAGCCGCGGUAAUACGAAGGGGGCUAGCGUUGUUCGGAAUUACUGGGCGUAAAGGGCGCGUAGGCGGUCCUGAUCGUCGGAUGUGAAAGGCCUGGGCUCAACCUGGGAACUGCAUCCGAUACGGCGGGACUGGAGUGUGGGAGAGGAUGGUGGAAUUCCCAGUGUAGAGGUGAAAUUCGUAGAUAUUGGGAAGAACACCGGUGGCGAAGGCGGCCAUCUGGACCACAACUGACGCUGAGGCGCGAAAGCGUGGGGAGCAAACAGGAUUAGAUACCCUGGUAGUCCACGCUGUAAACGAUGCGUGCUAGACGUUGGGAGCCCUAGGCUCUCGGUGUCGUCGCUAACGCUUUAAGCACGCCGCCUGGGGAGUACGGCCGCAAGGUUAAAACUCAAAGGAAUUGACGG